rnacentral:rRNA from 1 species
UACAGAGGUCUCGAGCGUUGUUCGGAUUCAUUGGGCGUAAAGGGCGCGUAGGCGGCGGGGUAAGUCUGGUGUGAAAUCUCGGAGCUCAACUCCGAAAUUGCACUGGAUACUGCUCUGCUAGAGGGCUGGAGAGGAGAUCGGAAUUCACGGUGUAGCAGUGAAAUGCGUAGAUAUCGUGAGGAAGACCAGUGGCGAAGGCGGAUCUCUGGACAGCUCCUGACGCUGAGACACGAAGGCCAGGGGAGCAAACGGG